rnacentral:rRNA from 1 species
CCUACGGGGGGCAGCAGUGAGGAAUAUUGGUCAAUGGACGAAAGUCUGAACCAGCCAUGCCGCGUGCAGGACGACGGCCCUAUGAGUUGUAAACUGCUUUUGUACGGGGGUAAAAUGCUUUACGUGUAGGGUUUUGUAAGUACCGUACGAAUAAGGAUCGGCUAACUCCGUGCCAGCAGCCGCGGUAAUACGGAGGAUCCGAGCGUUAUCCGGAUUUAUUGGGUUUAAAGGGUGCGUAGGUGGAUUGAUAAGUUAGUGGUGAAAUACCGAUGCUCAACAUCAGAACUGCCGUUGAUACUGUCGGUCUAGAGAACAGAUGCGGCAGGCGGAAUGUGUGGUGUAGCGGUGAAAUGCAUAGAUAUUACACAGAACACCGAUUGCGAAGGCAGCUUACUAGACUGGAUCUGACACUGAGGCACGAAAGCGUGGGGAUCGAACAGGAUUAGAUACCCCAGUAGUC